GACGAACGCUGGCGGCGUGCUUAACACAUGCAAGUCGAACGGAAAGGCUCCAGCUUGCUGGAGUACUCGAGUGGCGAACGGGUGAGUAACACGUGGGUAAUCUGCCCUGCACUCUGGGAUAAGCCUGGGAAACUGGGUCUAAUACUGGAUAUGACCUUUCUCCUUAUGGGGUUUGGUGGAAAGUUUUUCGGUGUAGGAUGAGCCCGCGGCCUAUCAGCUUGUUGGUGGGGUGAUGGCCUACCAAGGCGACGACGGGUAGCCGGCCUGAGAGGGUGAUCGGCCACAUUGGGACUGAGAUACGGCCCAGACUCCUACGGGAGGCAGCAGUGGGGAAUAUUGCACAAUGGGCUGAAGCCUGAUGCAGCGACGCCGCGUGAGGGAUGACGGCCUUCGGGUUGUAAACCUCUUUCAGCAGGGACGAAGCGUAAGUGACGGUACCUGCAGAAGAAGCACCGGCUAACUAUGUG
rnacentral:rRNA from 1 species